GACGAACGCUGGCGGCGUGCUUAACACAUGCAAGUCGAACGGUAAGGCCCUUCGGGGUACACGAGUGGCGAACGGGUGAGUAACACGUGGGUGAUCUGCCCUGCACUUCGGGAUAAGCCUGGGAAACUGGGUCUAAUACCGGAUAGGACCCUGGGAUGCAUGUCCUGGGGUGGAAAGCUUUUGCGGUGUGGGAUGGGCCCGCGGCCUAUCAGAUUGUUGGUGGGGGGAUGGCCUAACAAGGCGACGACGGGGAGCCGGCCGGAGAGGGUGACCGGCCACACUGGGACUGAGAUACGGCCCAGACUCCUACUGGAGGCAGCAGUGGGGAAUAUUGCACAAUGGGCGCAAGCCUGAUGCAGCGACGCCGCGUGAGGGAUGACGGCCUUCGGGUUGUAAACCUCUUUCAGCACCGACGAAGCGCAAGUGACGGUAGGUGCAGAAGAAGGACCGGCCAACUACGUGCCAGCCGCCGCUGUAA
rnacentral:rRNA from 1 species